rnacentral:rRNA from 1 species
AGGCAACCUGCCUUUCAGUUUGGGAUAACUUCCGGAAACGGAUGCUAAUACCGAAUACAUCAGCUUCUGGCAUCGGAGGCUGAGGAAAGACGGCGCAAGCUGUCACUGAGAGAUGGGCCUGCGGCGCAUUAGCUAGUUGGUGGGGUAACGGCUCACCAAGGCGACGAUGCGUAGCCGACCUGAGAGGGUGAACGGCCACACUGGGACUGAGACACGGCCCAGACUCCUACGGGAGGCAGCAGUAGGGAAUCUUCCACAAUGGGCGAAAGCCUGAUGGAGCAAUGCCGCGUGAGUGAUGAAGGUUUUCGGAUCGUAAAGCUCUGUUGCCAGGGAAGAACGUCCGGGUGAGUAACUGCACUCGGAGUGACGGUACCUGAGAAGAAAGCCCCGGCUAACUACGUGCCAGCAGCCGCGGUAAUACGUAGGGGGCAAGCGUUGUCCGGAAUUAUUGGGCGUAAAGCGCGUGCAGGCGGCUUGUUAAGUCGGAUGUUUAAGAUCGGGGCUCAACCCCGAUUCGCAUCCGAAACUGGCAAGCUUGAGUGUAGGAGAGGAAAGUGGAAUUCCACGU